AUGAACGCUGGCGGCGUGCCUAACACAUGCAAGUCGAGCGAUUCUCUUCGGAGAAGAGCGGCGGACGGGUGAGUAACGCGUGGGUAACCUGCCCUGUACACACGGAUAACAUACCGAAAGGUAUGCUAAUACGGGAUAACAUAAGAAAUUCGCAUGUUUUUCUUAUCAAAGCUCCGGCGGUACAGGAUGGACCCGCGUCUGAUUAGCUAGUUGGUGAGGUAACGGCUCACCAAGGCGACGAUCAGUAGCCGACCUGAGAGGGUGAUCGGCCACAUUGGAACUGAGACACGGUCCAAACUCCUACGGGAGGCAGCAGUGGGGAAUAUUGCACAAUGGGCGAAAGCCUGAUGCAGCAACGCCGCGUGAGCGAUGAAGGCCUUCGGGUCGUAAAGCUCUGUCCUCAAGGAAGAUAAUGACGGUACUUGAGGAGGAAGCCCCGGCUAACUACGUGCCAGCAGCCGCGGUAAUACGUAGGGGGCUAGCGUUAUCCGGAUUUACUGGGCGUAAAGGGUGCGUAGGCGGUCUUUUAAGUCAGGAGUGAAAGGCUACGGCUCAACCGUAGUAAGCUCUUGAAACUGGAGGACUUGAGUGCAGGAGAGGAGAGUGGAAUUCCUAGUGCAGCGGUGAAAUGCGUAGAUAUUAGGAGGAACACCAGUAGCGAAGGCGGCUCUCUGGACUGUAACUGACGCUGAGGCACGAAAGCGUGGGGAGCAAACAGGAUUAGAUACCCUGGUAGUCCACGCCGUAAACGAUGAGUACUAGCUGUCGGAGGUUACCCCCUUCGGUGGCGCAGCUAACGCAUUAAGUACUCCGCCUGGGGAGUACGCUCGCAAGAGUGCAACUCAAAUGAAUUGACGGA
rnacentral:rRNA from 2 species